UAUCACGCUUCGCGGGUUCUAUCAAGUUAUCAAGAAGCAAGAAAGUCAUUUCAAGACAUUAAUAGACGGUUAUUUUAAAUCCAUUGAUGAUGAAAACAAGCAAGUUCUUGAAAUGGGAGUUAAAGCAUUGACAACCUAAAUACACCAGAUGCACAUUGAACUGUGGAGCAGGUGUCCAAAUAGUUGGGAUACGAGUCCGUGUCUAUUUGGUUGAAUAAAAUGAGGCUAGGAUUCCUACAGAAUUAAAAGAGUUGGUAUAAAAUACUGACAAGUGAAGUGACAGCUAUAUUGGAGUUGCACAUAUCCUGUGGAAAGUUUCAUUUCUUGGCAGAGACCCAGCCAUUUGUGAAGACUUCCACGAGGACUUUGCUGUUGUUCAUCAAAAAGUUCAGCUGACAAAUUUCCAUUCAGAACCUCAAUAAUGUGUUAUCCCUUUAUACUAACAUAGCAUUGUCAAGUCAGCUAUCAACCCCACUGCUUUUUUUAACUUCUAUUAAAUCAUAAUAUACAUGUAGCUUAAAACAUUUCUCAUCAUGACUUUUAUAAAUUUUAUACAAUAGAUAGAUGAUCACUUGAAGACCUGUGUAAAAUUUUAAGCAGUGUGGUUUUUCUGUCAUCUGCGUUUAUCCAACAUUAUUGUUGCUGUAUAACAAAUGUAAAUUAUAAUAUUAUAUUGAUAUGCUUUCAUACUAGAAAAAUGUGCAAGUGUGAUUAAGCACAGUAGGAUAAC